AUAAAAUGAAGUAACCUUAAACCACUAGUUGAUCCUAAGGGUCGGGGAACCCUAACAAAUAGAAUGUUUUGCAUGUACUCCUAAAGGGAAUCGGGUUAAAAUUUCUAAACCGAGAUGUGGCGGUCGAUGACAAUGUUAGGAAGUCCAGAGAUGUCGGUGGGAGCCUUGGAAAAAGUUAUAUGUUUUGUUUAACAGCCUGCCCGCCUUGGAAUCGGCUCAGCUAGAUGUAGGAUCUAGCAACUGGAAGAGAACCGCACAUCGCGUGGUGUUCAGUGCGCUCUUGGUAGCCCUUGAAAAUAUGGAGGAUAGAAUAUCGUCUAUGCUCUAUUGCACUCAUAACCGCAUUAGCUCUCUAAGGUGAACAACCUCUAU
rfam:Capsicum annuum cultivar Zunla-1 chromosome 9, whole genome shotgun sequence